rnacentral:rRNA from 1 species
CUGGCUCAGAACGAAGCUGGUGGCGUGUCUUAUACAUGCAAGUCGAGCGAGGCAGCAAUGCCGAGCGGCGAACGGGUGAGUAACGCGUAAGCAAUCUGCCCCAUAUCAGGAAAUACCCGUGCCAACGCGCGGUUAAUGUCCAGGAGAGUGGCCCUCUGCAUGGAGGGUUGACUAGAGAUUUAUCGGUAUGGGAUGAGCUUGCGUCCGAUUAGCUAGUUGGCGGGGCAACGGCCCACCAAGGCGACGAUCGGUAGCCGGCCUGAGAGGGUGAUCGGCCACAUUGGGACUGAGAUACGGCCCAGACUCCUACGGGAGGCAGCAGUAGGGAAUAUUGCACAAUGGGGGAAACCCUGAUGCAGCAACGCCACGUGUUGGGAAGAAGCAUUUCGGUGUGUAAACCACUGUCAUGAGGGAAUAAGGCCCUUAUUCGUAAGGGACUUGAAUGUACCUUGAGAGGAAGCACCGGCAAACUUCGUGCCAGCAGCUGC